rnacentral:rRNA from 1 species
CUCAGAUUGAACGCUGGCGGCAUGCUUUACACAUGCAAGUCGAACGGCAGCACGAAAGAGCUUGCUCUUUUGGUGGCGAGUGGCGAACGGGUGAGUAAUACAUUGGAACGUACCGAGUAAUGGGGGAUAACUGUCCGAAAGGAUGGCUAAUACCGCAUACGCUCUGAGGAGGAAAGCGGGGGACCUUCGGGCCUCGCGUUAUUCGAGCGGCCAAUGUCUGAUUAGCUAGUUGGUGGGGUAAAGGCCUACCAAGGCGACGAUCAGUAGUGGGUCUGAGAGGAUGAUCCGCCACACUGGGACUGAGACACGGCCCAGACUCCUACGGGAGGCAGCAGUGGGGAAUUUUGGACAAUGGGCGAAAGCCUGAUCCAGCCAUGCCGCGUGUCUGAAGAAGGCCUUCGGGUUGUAAAGGACUUUUGUCAGGGAAGAAAGGGUUUGGGUUAAUACCCUGAGCUUAUGA